rnacentral:lncRNA from 1 species
UCCUCUGUAACCAUCCCUGUCACCAUACCUAGGCCUGUCACCCUCAAAACGAGGAGGACCCCUGCCAAAUUUAGCAAAACCAUUUAGUCAAUAUGAAUACAUCAGUGCUCCUGAUAUAUGAAUGUAACAGAAACAGACAAGCUGGAAACCAUGGAACAAUUACAUUUCAUACUUUGCCAAAAGUAACUACUUAUUGUUUUAACUACACAGCAUUCUGGGGAGGGAAAUUGUAAAAUGACUGGUAGAAUAUACAGAUAUAUAAAGAAGGCAAGCCUAAUUCCCUUGUGUUCCCACAACUAAAUCACAUGGCCAUAUAACAGAAAUGUAACAAAGAUUAUUAUUGAGGAUUAACAUGUGUCAUGAUGGCAAGAUUCAUCAAAUAAUUUCAUCUUAUAUAAACAAUUGUUGGAUCAGAACUAAAAAUCAUAAUCAUUCCAGGUCAAACAAUCUUCAGGUUUAUACAGACAUAUCAAAAUAUACAAUACAACAAGAUCAUCAACGAGGUUAUAUUCUAAACAGCAACACAAACCAUAUAAACACACUGAAUGAAGAGAAUAGCUCACCUGGGGCGGUCACCGGGUGGGCCAGAGCCGAAGGGGCGGGACGGGGGCUUGGCGGACUUCUUGAGGGUGUUGGGCACGAUCUCAGACGGCAGGUUGAGGAAGGUGCGGAGGAACUCAAUGCCGUCGUUGGUCAGGUACCAGUAGUAGUGCUGCCACGAGAAGGUCUCCCUGACGUAC